rnacentral:rRNA from 1 species
UACGUAGGGUGCGAGCGUUAAUCGGAAUUACUGGGCGUAAAGCGUGCGCAGGCGGUUAUAUAAGACAGUUGUGAAAUCCCCGGGCUCAACCUGGGAAUUGCAUCUGUGACUGUAUAGCUAGAGUACGGUAGAGGGGGAUGGAAUUCCGCGUGUAGCAGUGAAAUGCGUAGAUAUGCGGAGGAACACCGAUGGCGAAGGCAAUCCCCUGGACCUGUACUGACGCUCAUGCACGAAAGCGUGGGGAGCAAACAGGAUUAGAUACCCUGGUAGUCCACGCCCUAAACGAUGUCAACUGGUUGUUGGGUGCAUUAGUACUCAGUAACGAAGCUAACGCGUGAAGUUGACCGCCUGGGGAGUACGGCCGCAAGGUUG